CCUACGGGUGGCAGCAGUGGGGAAUAUUGGGCAAUGGGCGCAAGCCUGACCCAGCAACGCCGCGUGAAGGAAGAAGGCUCUCUGGUUGUUAACUUCUUUUUUCAGGGACGAAGCAAGUGAUGGUACCUGAGGUAUAAGACACGGCUAACUACGUGCCAGCAGCAGCGGUAAUACGUAGGUGGCAAGCGUUAUCCGGAUUUACUGGGUGUAAAGGGCGUUUAGGCGGUACUGCAAGUCAGAGGUGAAAACCAUGGGCUCAACCUAUGCCCUGCAUUUGAAACUGUAGUGCUUGAGUACUGGUGAGGCAGACGGAAUGCCUAGUGUAGCGGUGAAAUGCGUAGAGAUUA
rnacentral:rRNA from 1 species